GACGAACGCUGGCGGCGUGCUUAACACAUGCAAGUCGAACGGAAAGGCCCUGCUUUUGUGGGGUGCUCGAGUGGCGAACGGGGGAGUAACACGUGAGUAACCUGCCCUUGACUUUGGGAUAACUUCAGGAAACUGGGGCUAAUACCGGAUAGGAGCUCCUGCUGCAUGGUGGGGGUUGGAAAGUUUCGGCGGUUGGGGCUGGACUCGCGGCUUAUCAGCUUGUUGGUGGGGUAGUGGCUUACCAAGGCUUUGACGGGUAGCCGGCCUGAGAGGGUGACCGGCCACAUUGGGACUGAGGUACGGCCCAGACUGCUACGGGAGGCAGCAGUGGGGAAUAUUGCACAAUGGGCGGGAGCGUGAUGCAGCAACGCCGCGUGCGGGAUGACGGCCUUCGGGUUGUGAACCGCUUUCGCCUGUGACGAAGCGGGAGUGACGGUAAUGGGUAAAGAAGCACCGGCUAACUACGUG
rnacentral:rRNA from 1 species